CCUGGGGCAGCGCACACCGCUCCUGCUCCCAACUGUUCAACAGCAGUUUGGCGUCGGUCCAGUCCAGGAGAGAUCUGUUCUGGCUCUGGAGGUUCAGCGGCAGGCGGCCAUUUUGGACAGAUUUUUCUGACGUCGUUGACAGUGACGUGAUGGAGCUGUCUGGACUGAAGGGGGCGCUGUCUCCGGAGUGUGUCCUCAUUAAAAAUCCCAAAAACUGGAUCCAGACCAACUGCUCCACGGACUCAGAACACACCUUUAUUUGCUCUAGACCAGGACUAAACCAGGACUAAACCAGGACUGAACCAGGACUGAACCAGGACUAAACCAGG
ensembl:lncRNA